rnacentral:rRNA from 1 species
GAUGAACGCUGGCGGCGUGCUUAACACAUGCAAGUCGAGCGAUGAAGUUUCCUUCGGGAAACGGAUUAGCGGCGGACGGGUGAGUAACACGUGGGUAACCUGCCUCAUAGAGUGGAAUAGCCUUUCGAAAGGAAGAUUAAUACCGCAUAAUGUUGAAAGAUGGCAUCAUCAUUCAACCAAAGGAGUAAUCCGCUAUGAGAUGGACCCGCGGCGCAUUAGCUAGUUGGUGGGGUAACGGCCUACCAAGGCGACGGUGAGUAGCCGACCUGAGGGGGUGAGCGGCCACAUGGGGAGUGAGAUACGGCCCAGACGCCUACGGGAGGCAGCAGUGGGGAAUAUUGCACAAUGGGGGAAACCCUGAUGCAGCAACACCGCGUGAGUGAUGAAGGUUUUCGGAUCGUAAAGCUCUGUCUUUGGGGAAGAUAAUGACGGUACCCAAGGAGGAAGCCACGGCUAACUACGUGCCAGCAGCCGCAGUAACAC